GGGGACAUAGCUCAGUUGGGAGAGCGGUUGCUUUGCAAGCAUCAGGUCGUCGGUUCGAUCCCGUCUGUCUCCACCA
rnacentral:tRNA from 3 species